UAAUACCCAGAAUGACAGGCUCAUCGUGCCUUAGCCUUUUGUGCAGAAUUUUUACCCAUAUUAACAGCUCAUACCUGGCCCUCCCCUGAAUUAAGUUAUAAAAAGUUAUUAGUAAUUUAUAGAAAUUUAUCUAAAACAAUACAGGUAACAAAACUGUUUAGUGAAACUCAUAUAAUUAAGAAAUCAUUUUUUGCCCUAGCCAGUUUGGCUCAGUGA